GGGCGGUUUCUGCUGUGAAACGACGAUUGCAGUUUUCCGUUUCACAGUAGAACUAGCUAUU
rnacentral:pre_miRNA from 1 species